GACGAACGCUGGCGGCGUGCUUAACACAUGCAAGUCGAACGAAGAGCGAUGGAAGCUUGCUUCUAUCAAUCUUAGUGGCGAACGGGUGAGUAACGCGUAAUCAACCUGCCCUUCAGAGGGGGACAACAGUUGGAAACGACUGCUAAUACCGCAUACGAUCCAAUCUCGGCAUCGAGACUGGAUGAAAGGUGGCCUCUAUUUAUAAGCUAUCACUGAAGGAGGGGAUUGCGUCUGAUUAGCUAGUUGGAGGGGUAAUGGCCCACCAAGGCGAUGAUCAGUAGCCGGUCUGAGAGGAUGAACGGCCACAUUGGGACUGAGACACGGCCCAGACUCCUACGGGAGGCAGCAGUGGGGAAUCUUCCGCAAUGGACGAAAGUCUGACGGAGCAACGCCGCGUGAGUGAUGACGGCCUUCGGGUUGUAAAGCUCUGUUAAUCGGGGCGAAUGGUUCUUGUGCGAAUAGUGCGAG
rnacentral:rRNA from 1 species